UGAAGAGGUUUGGAAAGACCCACCACAGAAGGUAAUAGUCCUGUAUGUUAAACGAGAAGACUUUAGAUAUGAUCCAGAGUACCACGGGACACGUGAAACCCUGUGGGAAGCAGGAGGGACCACCCUCCAAGGCUAAAUACUACCUAGUGACCGAUAGCGUAUAGUACCGUGAGGGAAAGGUGAAAAGAACCCCGGGAGGGGAGUGAAAUAGAACCUGAAACCCUGCACUUACAAGCUGUGGAAGCACAUUUCUUGUGUGACCGCGUACUUUUUGUAGAACGGGCCAACGAGUUACGUUAAGUAGCAAGGUUAAGCACUUAAGGUGCGGAGCCGUAGCGAAAGCGAGUUUUAACUGAGCGUUCAGUUACUUGACGUAGACCCGAAACCGGGCGACCUACCCAUGAGCAGGAUGAAGCGAAAGUAAAAUUUCGUGGAGGUCCGAACCCACGAGCGUUGAAAAGCUCGGGGAUGACUUGUGGGUAGCGGUGAAAUUCCAAUCGAGCCCGGAGAUAGCUGGUUCUCCCCGAAAUAGCUUUAGGGCUAGCCUCAAGGUGAGAGAUACGGAGGUAGAGCACUGAAUGUCCUAGGGGGUAUUGCACCUACCGAAGACUAUCAAACUCCGAAUGCCGUCAUCUUAUACUUGGGAGUCAGACUGUGGGUGAUAAGAUUCAUAGUCGAAAGGGCAACAGCCCAGAUCGUCAGCUAAGGUCCCUAAAUGUAAGUUAAGUGGUAAAGGAUGUGGGAUUGCACAGACAACCAGGAUGUUGGCUUAGAAGCAGCCACUCAUUCAAAGAGUGCGUAAUAGCUCACUGGUCGAGUGAUCCUGCGCCGAAGAUUUCCGGGGCUAAAACUUACUACCGAAGCUACGGCAUCAGUAAUGAUGGGUAGGGGAGCUUCCCAUACGGGUUGAAGCAUGACCGUAAGGACAUGUGGACAGUAUGGGAGUGAGAAUGUUGGCAUGAGUAGCGAGAUGUGGGUGAGAAUCCCACAGGCCGUAAACCCAAGGUUUCCAGGGGAAGGUUCGUCCGCCCUGGGUUAGUCGGGACCUAAGCUGAGGCCGAAAGGCGUAGGUGAUGGACAACAGGUUGAUAUUCCUGUACUACCGAUAACCGUUUGAGAGAAGGGAUGACACAGUAGGAUAAGCUAAGCACACUGUUGGUUAUGUGUGCCCAAGCAUUGAGGCAGUCAAAGUAGGCAAAUCCGCUUUGAUAAUGCUGGGAUGUGAUGGGGAGCGAAAUUUAGUAGCGAAGUAGCUGAUUUCACACUGUCAAGAAAAGUCUCUAUCGAGGUUAAAGGUACCCGUACCGCAAACCGACACAGGUGGGUGAGGAGAGUAUCCUAAGGCCAGCGAGAGAACUGUUGUUAAGGAACUCGGCAAAAUGACCCCGUAACUUAGGGAUAAGGGGUGCCACCAUCAGGUGGCCGCAGAGAAUAGGCCCAAGCGACUGUUUACCAAAAACAUAGGUUUCUGCUAAGUCGCAAGACGAUGUAUAGGAGCUGACGCCUGCCCGGUGCUGGAAGGUUAAGGGGAUCUGUUAGAGCAAUCGAAGCAGUGAACUUAAGCCCCAGUAAACGGCGGCCGUAACUAUAACGGUCCUAAGGUAGCGAAAUUCCUUGUCGGGUAAGUUCCGACCCGCACGAAAGGCGUAACGAUUUGGGCACUGUCUCAACAACAGACUCGGUGAAAUUGUAAUUCCGGUGAAGAUGCCGGAUACCUGCGACAGGACGGAAAGACCCCAUGGAGCUUUACUGUAGCUUGACAUUGGGUCUUGGUACUACAUGUACAGGAUAGGUGGGAGGCUUUGAAACCAGGACGCCAGUUUUGGCGGAGCCAUCCUUGGGAUACCACCCUUGUAGUACUGGGACUCUAACCAUAGGCCAUGAAUCUGGUCUUGGGACACUGUCAGGUGGGCAGUUUGACUGGGGCGGUCGCCUCCCAAAAGGUAACGGAGGCGCUCAAAGGUUCUCUCAGUACGGUCGGAAAUCGUACGUAGAGUGUAAAGGCAAAAGAGAGCUUGAUUGCAAGACAUACAGGUCGAGCAAGGAUGAAAAUCGGACUUAGUGAUCCGGUGGUUCUGCGUGGAAGGGCCAUCGCUCAACGGAUAAAAGCUACCCUGGGGAUAACAGGCUUAUCUCCCCCAAGAGUCCACAUCGACGGGGAGGUUUGGCACCUCGAUGUCGGCUCAUCACAUCCUGGGGCUGUAGUAGGUCCCAAGGGUUGGGCUGUUCGCCCAUUAAAGUGGUACGCGAGCUGGGUUCAGAACGUCGUGAGACAGUUCGGUCCCUAUCCGUCGCAGGCGUAGGAAAUUUGAGAAGACCUGUCCUUAGUACGAGAGGACCGGGAUGGACGUACCUCUGGUGUACCAGUUGUCCUGCCAAGGGCAUGGCUGGGUAGCUAUGUACGGAAUGGAUAAGCGCUGAAAGCAUCUAAGCGCGAAGCCAACUUCAAGAUAAGAUUUCCCACCGCAAGGGUAAGACCCCAGAAAGACUAUCUGGUUGAUAGGUCGAAGGUGUAAGUGCAGCAAUGUAUUUAGCUUAUCGAUACUAAUAGGUCGAGGACUUGACC
rnacentral:rRNA from 1 species